GUAAACUCAGGGUGCUAACACUUAAAUUCUUGCUAAUAUACUAAUAACCCGGGUAUUUCUCAUGUUCACAAAAUCCACAUACUAUGCAGCCGGAACGCUCUACAUACUCAUUAUGACGUCAUUAGUAUAACGGUAGGCUUCUAUAGUAAUAGUUUUGUACCAAUAUUAUACUUUUCGACCGCAGCCUGACAGUGCGCCGGUGUUAUGGGGGAAAAACAUAAGAAAGCGUGCAAGAAAAGUUUGUGGUGAUACACGUAUAAAAGAGACGCGGCGUUCAGGCGAAGGAUUACAGGCAAAAAAAAGAGAAAGCGAUCGACGGCGAGGACAAACACGGAUAACAAUUGGUGAAGCUUUUCCUCGCUGGAGAGCGCUGAAAGAACAGGAGGGACUGAGAGCAGACAGGGAACUAGCGUUACUGCUCUUAGACAGGCCACUGGAAAACAAGAGUGCGGCGUGGUCUUUCUGCUGUGUGGGAACUACUUUUUCCUCCGCGCUGACGAGAAACCAGACAAGAGGACUGCAGUGAAGUUGGGUUCAAAUUGUCUGACGCUGUGACUCGCGGAUGCGCAACGUCUGUCGUUGAUGAAAGUAUGAAUGUCUUUUAGAAGUCUGUUCCACAUUUUAUUUGCUACUGCCUCUUGCAGCUGAUUUGUGGAUAAGUUGUUUUUGUUUUAAGGUGCACAAUAGGUGGUUUAAUAAAUGGAGUAGCGUUGCAUGACGGUUAAAAAGCACUACUUUACUCCAGUGAAUCACAAAUGCAAAUUUUAUUCCUGCAAGAUUUAAUAAAAAUAUGUAGCCUACCUGUUUGACAUAUUAUUACAGAUGUCUUUAUCAAUGAUUACCAUAUACAACCUGCCCUGUAAAGUUGUCAUGAUGGAUAGAUAGAUGCUCAGAUGACCUUAUUUGUAUGUGACUAACAUUGCACGAAGGUGCUUACAUUUUGUUUCAAGUGGAUGAGUUUAAGUGGUUUAUAAACUUGCAUGUCAGAGAAAACAGUUUGGUGUGGGUGUUCUCAGCAUAUUCAUAUAGUGGCAUGAAGUGAAAGAGGAGGCAGACCUUGACUGGAACUAUUAUGAAAAAGGAACAAACAUGAAACUGAAAUAGCAAAGAUCAAAAGGAUGUGGAGAUGCAUGGGGGGUGGAUGAGCAUGUACGUAGGUGCCAUUGAUUGCAGCAACCUGGGUUUGACCCCUCUCUCCUACAAAGAGGUUUUCUGCUUUCAGGGUGGGUUUGUUUUACUCACCUAGGACCAAAUGAAUUGAUUUUAAAGUUUGAUAAUAGAUGUUUUAGUUGGUUUACUUUAAGAUUAACAUUAGUUCUAACCAUAAUCUUCAUAAUCACAAUUUAUUUCAACAUAUUUUUUUUAUUUUUGUUUUGGUGCAGGUGAAGCAACUGGACAUGCAUAUAUAUAGUGUGAAUCAAUCUCAAUAAAAUAAAUAUAAAUGAAGAAUGAAACUCAAA